CGUUUUGCUGCCUUACUUUAUUUUUAUUUCCUUUCGAAAUAUAGCUCUGAAUCCAAAAUGAGAUUUUUUUUUAAAUUAAACCUACUCCAAUUGAAAAUGUUCUUUGCCUUAAGUAAUAAUAAUAAAUGUGGAUUUUAGCAGUCGGGCGUUCCAAUGCAUCAAAUUAGUUGCAUAGUGUUAUUGUUAUAAAAACCGAAAAAUACGAAAAUGAGCAUUAUACCCUUCAAUCGACAUGGUUUUAAAUUUGACAUUUGGAUCUUCCUCUAAUAAAGAAUCUAUAGUCAGCCGCGUACCCUUGUACAAUAUAAUUAAUAUUAUUUGUAAAAUGCCUACAAAAAUCACCCUACGUCUAGAUAGAAAAUAAUGGAGGCCAUGAAAUUGGAGCUACUUACCGGAUGACAACAAAACAUAGAAAUACGCCAGUAGAACCGUCCCUAAUAGAUUAAUGAAUAUUAUCAACAAGGAUGUAAUCUCCAAAAUUAAAGGGAAAACUGGAGAUAAGGAUAUUUUCUUAGCUACAAUGGUUUUAAAAGGGAUAUAAGCUUCAAAUGAUGUGUAAGAAAGAUUUUGAAACUGAUGGAGAACUAAAAGAAUGUAUCGGAAAAAAAUGUGCAAUACCAUCAUUAGGAUUAAAAACAAAAGUGGCAAUUAACAAAGGACCAGUAUUAUGUCAAUGGUUCGAGGUUGUCCAGUUAUUGUAUUUAGUGUAAUAAUUCAAAGAGACUUGAAACAUCAAAUGUGGAAUGCUGCAAAUAAGAUUUUAAUCAAUGAAAUAAGUUAUUGGUGGUUUCAGAGCGAAUAAAUUCACGUAGCGAAGUUUUAAAUUUACUAGCUUUUUUGAAGACUUAAGUAUAAGGACGCUACCCAACAAGAUGCAAUUAUUAGAAUAAACAGCUUCAAUCAAACCUUUUCAGAAACAGCUCAAUUAAUUUCCUUAAAAAAAAUAUCAUUUAUGCCCGUGCAAUACAUGAUGGUAUAUUCGAAUAAAAAUAAUUAUUAUAGAA
rnacentral:lncRNA from 1 species